rnacentral:rRNA from 1 species
GGACCUACGGGAGGCAGCAGUGAGGAAUAUUGGUCAAUGGUCGGGAGACUGAACCAGCCAAGCCGCGUGAGGGAUGAAGGUACAGAGUAUCGUAAACCUCUUUUGUCAGGGAACAAAGGCGGGGACGCGUCCCCGGAUAAGUGUACCUGAAGAAAAAGCAUCGGCUAACUCCGUGCCAGCAGCCGCGGUAAUACGGGGGAAGCGAGCGUUAUCCGGAUUUAUUGGGUUUAAAGGGUGCGCAGGCGGUCUGUUAAGUCAGCGGUAAAAGCCCGGGGCUCAACCCCGGCCCGCCGUUGAAACUGGUG